ensembl:snoRNA small nucleolar RNA SNORA48
AACCCCUGGCAAUGGGCAUAGAGACACCUUGGUGGUGGUGUUGUUCUUAUAUCAGUCAGGGGCAGAGGAGCUAGUAGCCCUUUGUUCAUCCUAGCUUGAUGCCUGGUUUGGUGGCCAAAGCUGUUUCAUGCCUAGGGCACAAUA